AUUGAACGCUGGCGGCAUGCCUUACACAUGCAAGUCGAACGGUAACAGGGAGCUUGCUCCGCUGACGAGUGGCGAACGGGUGAGUAAUGUAUCGGAACGUACCAUUCAGUGGGGGAUAACGUAGCGAAAGUUACGCUAAUACCGCAUAUUCUGUGAGCAGGAAAGCAGGGGAUCGCAAGACCUUGCGCUGAUUGAGCGGCCGAUAUCAGAUUAGCUAGUUGGUGAGGUAAAGGCUCACCAAGGCGACGAUCUGUAGCGGGUCUGAGAGGAUGAUCCGCCACACUGGAACUGAGACACGGUCCAGACUCCUACGGGAGGCAGCAGUGGGGAAUUUUGGACAAUGGGGGCAACCCUGAUCCAGCCAUGCCGCGUGAGUGAAGAAGGCCUUCGGGCUGUAAAGCUCUUUCGGCCGGGAAAAAUACGCAUCAGUUAAUACCUGGUGUGGAUGAUGGUACCGGAAUAAGAAGCACCGGCUAACUACGU
rnacentral:rRNA from 1 species